UUGAAGUCAGUGGCUGGAGUAGUUGUGGGCCAGAAACAUCCUCCUCAGCCCAGGAGAAGUGGCAGCUGAUGUAUUUUAAUCACUGGGAGUCAAGAAGUUGUAGGGAUAAGAAAUGAGUGCAGCUGAGGGAUCAGCUGGAGGUCAGGGAUAGAGGAAAAACUGAGGGUGUGUGAGAUUCUGAAGUAGAGUGGUGAACAGGUAUGGGAUGGAUGUCAGGGAGACGUGAGGGUAUCUUGAGGGUUUCCAAACAUCCAGGCCUUCAGAACGGCCACAGCAAAACUUGCAGUUCUGAAUCGUUUUGUGGAAAGAACAUAGAACCUGGAUCUUGGAAGUCAGGAAUUGAAAUUUCAGUUCAAGCAUUCUGUAGCCAUGAGACCUGGGGGAACUGGGGUAAGUUAUUUCACAUCUUUGAUCUUCAAUUCUCUCAUCUUCAGAAGGAGACUAAUGAUACAAGGGUUAAGUGAGAAUUUAAAAAAUAAUCCAUAUGAUGUACUACAUAAAUAGAAUUUUCUUUCUUUCCCUUUCUCCUACUUGGAAAUGGCUGAGAGCAAAGAUGCAGUUCUUGCAUCCCAUGACCACAGAGUUCUAGGACUACAGUCUUGGGCAAGAGGUUCCACCUUGGCUGCUGGAGUUUUCAGCAAUGAAGAACUUCAGUGAGUGUUCAGGGCAUGCCUGGAGGACCCUGGUCCUUCUGUUUGGACCAGCGCUCCAAAUUUGCAGGCCUUUGGGCCAUAAUUUAGAACCUAUUUCUAAAUUUUUGAAGGUCUUCCAUCUAGCCCUGAGGCCUUUAGUCUCAGAGAACUAAAUUGUCUUACCCAGGGUCGAUCACACAGACUGCCAAAGCCUGGCCUGGAAUCCAGGUGCAAUUUUCAUCUGUCUUACCAGUUCCUCUGUAGUAACCUGACAGUGACUCACAAUUCCUUACAGCACAGUGUUUCAAAGUCUGAGCCACAGACCACCUGUACUAGUAGCAGCAGGUGGGCUUGAUAAAAAUGCAGAUUCCUGGCUCCCUGCCAGCCCUGUGCGAUCAGAUUCUGUAAAGUUUCAAAGUAAUGAUUUACAAAUUUCCCAGACCUGGGUUAUACUUUUAUACAGAAACAUAAUGCCUGAAUCUGACAGAGUGCUUUUUCGUGGAGGAAAGUUAGGACUCUUGGGCAGACUUCUUGUUGCUUUCAUACUCUACAGGUGUUCCUGACCCUGGAACAAGAGGAUUUAUCUGACUCAACUGGAGAUGGCUCCCUUCCCUAAUUUAUUGUUGCAUCCUGAAGCUUCCCCCAUGCUGAGCUCAGUGUGAACAAACAGCGCGGGAGGAUGUAACCACUGCAGAGGCAUAUGUUUGAGAUGUCUGGCCACUGGAGGUCGUCUCGUCUACUAUGUUCACCACAGAUAAAGAAUGAAAAGAGAAUACACAACCUUGUGAUUGCUAGCAGUGAAAGCUCAGAGUUGUGACAUAACAGAAUUGGUUUAUGUGACUAUGGAGGCUGAGAUGUCCCAAAAGCUGGAUACCCAGGAGAAGAAAAGGGUACAAAUUGAUCUGACUUGAUUUGUCAGAGAGCCAGAACUGCAGGCAAAUAGACGCCAGAGAAAUCAACCGAUCUUUUAAGCCAGCAGUAAUUGUUCCUCCUGUCGGCUGGCUAAAUGAGUUGUAUCUGGAGGAGAUGCUCAGAAUGAAUCAGAAUGCUCGAGGUGACAGAAACACAGAGCAUUCCAAAGUGGGCUGUAACAGAAGUGGUUGAUCAUACUAUAAAACUUAAAUGUGAAGGGAAGGCUGGAACAUACUGGAAACUGAAGACCUGACAAAAAGAAGGAACUUUUAGGGACAAGCAGAAACUUCAAAAUGUUGAGAACUCUCUUGUAUCAUAAUAGAAGAUAAAAACUCUGAUGGUCGCACUCAUAAAGACAACAAACAAACAAAAACCCAGAAUCACAAAAGCAAAGAAAAUGUAGGUAAAACAAUAACAGAAGAGGUAAAGAAAUUUAUGUGAAUUGGGACACUCUGGGGCACGGAACAGAAGAGGAGAAGAAACAUGAAAGUAAUGCUCUGCACAAGGAUGUCUGAGUGUCCUUGAUUCCAAGGGCAUUUAAAAUUAGCCACUGGAUGAGAACCAUGAAAUGCCAUUACUCUUGCAGCUCCCAUGAAAGACACUGGAUGGAACUUAUCCUGACUGGACCAAACUCUAAAAAAUUUUACAUGAUAUUAUAAUGAGUUGAAAGUUGAACAAAAAAACAACGCUUUUCUAGAUUACCAAGAAUAAAACACAAAUUUCUGGCUGACUGAAUUAAUUCUCAUCUCUCUAUAGAAAGAUCAUAUAAUUUUUUUUUAUCAUGCAAAGAGAUAGCUAAAAACUUAGGAAAAUAUAGAAGUGUGUUAGGCAGCUCAUGAGUAAAUGGGUUUUUUCCUUUUUUCCUCUGGCAUUUUGUGAUGUUUGCGGUACUUUUCGGCUUUUAAAAAUUCGUAUUUAAUCAGGAUUUAUUACUUCAUUGUAAGUAAAUAUUAAAUUUAUACUCAAUCUUUGUUUGUAAUUUUGUAUAUUUUUUGGUAAAAAGAACUCCCCAGAUUAUAUAAGCUUUAGGCCCCACAAAAUCUAGACCUGUUGCUGUAUCCUUCUAGAGCAGUGUUUCUCAAACUUCAAUGUGCAUUUGAAUCUCCUGGGGCUCCUGUUAAAAUAUAGCUUCUGAGAUGAUGCAUUUCUAACAAACUCCCAGGGCUGACACUGCCCAUCUGGGGAUCACACUUUGAGAAUCAAAGCUCUAGAACAAUGGUUCUUACCUGGCUGUGCAUUGGGAUCACUUAUAGUGCUUUUGGAAAAUACAUUGUGUCCAGGUCCCACCCCGUUCUCAGUAGGCUUGGAAUGGGGUCCUACACUUUUUUUUUUAACUCCACAGUUCGGGAAAGAAGAACUUUCGUAUAUUGUUGGUGGGAGUACAAAUUGAUACAGCCAAUUUUCAGCUUGAUUUGGCAAUAUCUUCCUUGGAGAAAUCAAAGGCAGUUGGCAAGGCAAUCUGAAAAAGGCAUUUACUGAUUCCCACCCCAUGGUCACAAAGCAGAUAUAGAAGAAUGGGCUUUGGCUGAAAUAUAUGAUGGGCACAGGUAUAUUCUCUAUAAUCUAGUAGUUCCACUUCUAAAAAUGUAUCCUAGUAGCAUUAUACAUAUCAAGACUAUAUAUAAAGUUGUUCAAUUCCAUAUUACUUAUAGUAGGGGAAGACUGAAAGCAGUCUACAUGCCCAUCAAUGGAUUAUUCAAAUUAUGGAACACUUUUCCAAUGACAUAACAAUAGCUAAUCUUAGUUAAGCAAUUAUUAUGUUAUGUAAGGUAGACAUUGUUCUACCUUAUUUAUAAGUAUUAACUAAAUUAGUUCUUAUAACUAUCAUAUUUCCAUUUUACAAAUGGCCUAAUUUAUAUUAUUGGCAUGGGAAGAUGUCCAAGGAUAUAAUAAGCAAAAAGCAAGUAGCAGAACAUUAUGUAUGAUAUAUUAUGCAUCACCAUUAUAAUACACUAAAAGGUAAUUCACUUGAAUCUGAUGCGCACUCCCCGGUAGGUAACAGCUGAUCUAGUAUAAAAAUGAAAGAACAUUCUGUUACCUCAAACAAGCUGUCUUCAUGCAAUUUAGUUGACUGGUAGCACUUUCAGAAGAAGACAGAGUAAAAAUGGUUGGGUCAAUUUGGUGGUGUAGAGUAUUCUAUCGAUCAGUGGUCAAAAGAGUAGUCAUUCUGAGUGAUCUUUAACAUUAGGGUUGAUGGAAGAAAUGACCCGUAGAUGUCCCUACAUCUCAUUUCUCUUAGGACACACACUUGGGAGAAAUCGUCCAGUGCACUUUGUCCAGGCCUUUCACUUGUACCAACUACUUUGCAUUAUGCUGUUUUCACUUGAGUGGUUGCGCCUUCUAGUCCACAGCAAAGUUUUUUUUUUAAUGUAUAUUUUUUCCCAACACUUUAUUAUGGGAAUUUUCAAACACACAGAAAAGAUAAAAGAAAUUUACAGAGAAUACUCAUGUAUCUAUCAGUUAGAUUCUACAGUUAACAUUUCACUAUACUAGUUUUUUUUGUGUAUCUAUUUAUCUCCCUGUGCAUCCAUUGAUCCACUUCAUCUUUAGGAUGCAUUUCAAAGCAAGUUGCUGACAUCAGUACACUUCUGCCUCAAUACUUUAGUAUGUGCAUCAAUAACCCUAGUUUAAUAUUUGUUUAUUCUUUUUCUUUCCUUUUGAAGUAAAAUUUAUACACAAGGAAAUGCACAUAUCUUAAACUUCCAUCAAGAAAGAACAUUACCAUACCUGAGAGUAUCCUCAUGCUCCUCCGCUGGGGUGCUCCCUGCCUCUCCACACCAAUCCCCCCAGGUAACAACUGUUCUGAUAUCCCCCUUACCAUACAUACCUGCUCUAGAACAUCAUAUAAAUGGAAUGAUACAAUAUGUCUUUUGUAUAAGCUUUAUUCCACUCAGCAUAAUGUUUUUGCCAUUCACCCACAUUAUUGAUCAUAUUAGUACCUUGCUCCUUCUUAUUAUUGAGUAGUAUUAGAUUGUAUAAAUAUAGCAGAGUCUAUUUUCCUAUUUUGAUGGAUAUGUUGGCUUGUUCUGAUUUUUGCUUAUUAUGAAUAAAACUUCUGAGUAUUCUUGUACAAGUA